rnacentral:rRNA from 1 species
GCACUUGCUGCUGGAGCUGAAGUCAGCCGCAGUGACCAGGUGGCUGGGACUGUUUAUUAAAAACACAGCACUGUGCAAAAUCGUAAGAUGACGUAUACGGUGUGACACCUGCCCGGUGCCGGAAGGUUAAUUGAUGGGGUUAGACGUAAGUCGAAGCUCUUGAUCGAAGCCCCGGUAAACGGCGGCCGUAACUAUAACGGUCCUAAGGUAGCGAAAUUCCUUGUCGGGUAAGUUCCGACCUGCACGAAUGGUGUAACCAUGGCCACGCUGUCUCCACCCGAGACUCAGUGAAAUUGAAAUCGCAGUGAAGAUGCUGUGUACCCGCGGCUAGACGGAAAGACCCCGUGAACCUUUACUACAGCUUGGCACUGAACAUUGACCCUACAUGUGUAGGAUAGGUGGGAGGCUUUGAAGCACAGACGCUAGUUUGUGUGGAGCCGACCUUGAAAUACCACCCUUGUAGUGUUGAUGUUCUAACUUAGGUCCCUGAUCGGGAUUGAGGACAGUGCCUGGUGGGUAGUUUGACUGGGGCGGUCUCCUCCCAAAGAGUAACGGAGGAGCACGAAGGUUGGCUAAGUACGGUCGGACAUCGUACGGUUAGUGUAAUGGUAGAAGCCAGCUUAACUGCGAGACAGACACGUCGAGCAGGUACGAAAGUAGGUCAUAGUGAUCCGGUGGUUCUGAAUGGAAGGGCCAUCGCUCAACGGAUAAAAGGUACUCCGGGGAUAACAGGCUGAUACCGCCCAAGAGUUCAUAUCGACGGCGGUGUUUGGCACCUCGAUGUCGGCUCAUCACAUCCUGGGGCUGAAGUCGGUCCCAAGGGUAUGGCUGUUCGCCAUUUAAAGUGGUACGCGAGCUGGGUUUAGAACGUCGUGAGACAGUUCGGUCCCUAUCUGCCGUGGGCGUUUGAGAAUUGAGAGGGGCUGCUCCUAGUACGAGAGGACCGGAGUGGACGAACCGCUGGUGUUCGGGUUGUGAUGCCAAUUGCAUUGCCCGGUAGCUACGUUCGGAAUCGAUAACCGCUGAAAGCAUCUAAGCGGGAAGCGAGCCUCGAGAUGAGUUCUCACUUUAACUUUAAGUUAACUGAAGGGCCGUUGAAGACUACAACGUUGAUAGGCUGGGUGUGGAAGUGUAGUGAUACAUUAAGCUAACCAGUACUAAUUACCCGUGAGGCUUAACCAUACAACGCCAAAGUGGUUU